rnacentral:lncRNA from 1 species
AUGGCCUUGGGCAGGGCACACCCUCUCAGCCUCAGGGGGUCCCCAAAGCCCCCCCCCACCGUCAGAACCCCCGCCCCGCCACAAUCCCUCCUCACAGCCAGGCCCCCCGCCUCCCCCUGCCCCCCAUUGAGCCUAGAUCGUUUUCCCUACCGCGCCCCCUUACCCUGCUCAAUGAAUUCAAGGAGCCAAGGACCCCUGCACCCCAGGCGCCCCCUGUGGGCGUUCAAUGAGCGAUGGGGCGAAGAGGCCAAAAACAAAAGGGCCAUCAUCGAGGCCAGAAGAGAGGAGGCCGCCCAGGCCCCAGCCCCAUCCCGCCUGGUUCGGGCCCGGUUGUUCCCCGCUCUCGGGGAGGCCGGGCCCGGGCCUCAGGCGGGAAAUCAGCGGCCCGCUGGCCCUAAGAAACACGGCCCGCUGAAGCCCUUCUUGGGGCGGAACGAGCCGGAGGGGGCGCUGCCGGUCCUCCCUGUCCCGGGGGCACCCUCAGGCAGGGCCAGGGCCGGGCCUCCACGAAGGGGGCAUCCGCGCCGGCAGGAAGGUCCCCCGGGUCCACUGGCGAGGAGGGAGCCUGAGGGGGCGCUGCCCUCCCUCCACCUGCCCCCUCCCGCCCCGGAGGCCCCUCCUCGUCAGGACCCCAUCCACAUCAGGGACCCCCAGGGGCGCUUCCUUCCCGACAUCUGGCCGCCCCUCCUGGCUCCUCGCCCACCCUGGCUCCCGCCCAAAAUGCCUGACCGGAGAUACGGGGCUGAUGGCCUUGGAAGAAGGAGAUGCCGAUACCUUAAAACGCCGUGUAGUGGAACUACUGCUUCAGAACCCCCAAGGCAUCAGGUUUGAGAAUUUUUCUGGGGCCUUCCAUCAGCUGCAUGGUUACUACCCUCGUAUUGCUCUUCAGGGAUAUCAUAAGCUCAAGGAAUUAUUGGCUGAUAUGAAGAAUGCUGUGGUUGUGGAAAGGCGUUCACGGCAACAAGUUAUGAAGAUUGCAGAGGGCUUCUGCCUUGACCUUUCGUUGGAAGGAGAAAAAGGGAAUGGAUUGGAAACAUCCGAAAGAGAAGUGGAGAACCUGCGAGAUGAAGACCAAGUUGGAGGAAAAACAAGUAAAUGCAGCCAAAUUUGGAUCCUGGCAGCCCAAUUUAGUUGGAAUGAUAUUGUAUGUGAUUUUCAGAUGGCGCAUCUACAGCAUAGAACUAGUACAGUUUGACACCUCUUUAAUUGCCAUGACUGGCCGCAGUGGUGCAGUGGGUUAAACUCUUGUGCCAGUUUGACGGCUGACCUGAAGGUUGGGUUGCUCACCUGAAGGUUGUUGAUUCAAAUCUGCAAGACGGAGUGAGCUCCCGUCUGGCAGCUCUAGCUUGUGAGAACAUGAGAGAGACCUCCCAGCCAGGGCAUCCCUUGGGCAGUGUCUCUGUAGAUGGCCAAUUCUCUCACACCAGUAGCGACUUACAGUAUGUUCUCAAGUCACUUCUGACACGAUUUAAAAAAAUGUGUAUGCAUAAGGUUUUGGCAUGGUAUAAUUCAUAAUUGUAUGCAGAUGGUUAUCUUUGUUUUCAGAAUAGGUGUCCUGAUUGCCUAAAUUACUGUCAUCAUAGUGUCUCUGGCCUGACAGAAGAAAGGAGAGGGCAUGCGCCAGCAUGGUAGUAUAAGCAGCCACCAUCUGGGUACAUCUACACUGUAGAAUUAAUGCAGUGUAAUACCACUUUAAUUAUUAUGGCCCAAUGCUAUGCCUUCCUGGUAUUUGUAACUUGCUGAGGAACUAGACUUUUUGUCAGCCAAUGCUAAACACCUUAUAAAACUGAAACUCACAGGAUUCCAUAACAAAGAGUUGUGACAGUUAAAAUGGUGUCAAACUGCAUUGAUUUGAGAGUAAAAAUGCAUCCCAAAAAGGAACUUUUGGAUAUUGUGUGUGGAUUAAUUGAUGAGAGAGAGAUAUCAGCAAGGGCUCCAGCAAGGAUCCACUACUGUGCCACUCUGCACUUUAAUUUGUUACUUCAGAUAGGAAGUUUUAUCCGCAGGUUCUACUGCAUUUUAGGAAAUAUUAUAAUUUUAUAAUUCUUACAAUGUUAUGUGCCUUGUUAUUUUUAUAUUGAUGUCACUGUGUAUAUACUUAUGUAUUGUUGUUUAUAUGUGGCACUUGGAGAACUUCUGUGAGUCACCCCCAGUCCCUUCAGGGAAAUGGAGGCGGGCUAUAAAUAAAAAUAUAUUGAUUGUUAUUACUAUAUAGAAUGUCUGCAGACACUCCAGUUGGGAUCUAAGUUAGGGAAGAAUUCAUUCAUUAUUGGCUAAGCUCCUGGGGGUGCCCAUGUCCAUAUGACAAACAAUAAUAACAAGUGGAAUAUUGAGUUGAGAUCCACGUUUGUAGGCAUUUUGAUUUAUGACUUGUUCUUUUUGUAGCUCUUACAGACAUCUUGGAUUGGCUCAUCAGCCUCCUAAUGGAGUACAAAUCGGGACUGAGAAUUAGCUACAUCAAGAAAUUCAUGCUAUCCAAGCAUGCAGUGAACAUGGAAAAGUUCAGCAUUGCCCAAGGCUACAAGAACAUCAUGGAAUUCUUGGAACAUGAACUGCCAAAGCUAAUAGUCAGAUAUCGAGAGAAACCCCGUGAAUAUGUUGUACAGAUUCCUGAAGGUACAAAUAAUACUGGAUUAUGUGGAGGGGAGGAAUUAGUGCAGUGUCGCGAUUAGAGUUUUGGACGAGGACUCCAGGAGUUCAGGGUUUGAAUCCCCAUUCAGCCAUAGAAAAGUCUAGGUCAGUGGUUCUCAACCUGUGGGUCCCCAGUUGUUUUGGCCUUCAGCUCCCAAAAAUCCUAACAGCAGGUAAACUGGCUGGGAUUUCUGGGAGUUGUAGGCCAAAACACCUGGGGACCCACCGGUUGAGAUCCACUGAUCUAGCUGAUCUCCCUCUGAGGUUCCAAGGAAGAGAAUGGCAGACUUCUGGAUAAGUCUUGCCAAGAAACCCUAUGAUAGGUUCACCACAAUUCAGAAUCAACCUGAACGACAACAUUUGUGGAGGGGAGGGGUUGGUUACAGUUUUCAAAGAGCAUUUAGAUUAUAAAUUUAAAAAGUUGUUAAUAAACAAUGCCAUAUGGAUAGUUUCAACUCAGGGAUGCUAUGAAAACUGGAUCAUCUUUGUAAUCUAAGCCUACCAAGCCUUGCCAAAAGUUUUAUUGUUGACACACCUUGAGAAAAUGGUUUGUUCCUUAUGACCAGGACACAAAGUGUUGUUGCAAAUCUCCACUAAAUCGCAGAGAGCUUGAGUCAACAUUUUAUCAAUUGCUACAGAAUCAGUCAAAUUCAUGGAUUGGCCACUUUAAUAUUUCUGUUAACUAUCUUCAUAAUGUUUAUGAAGAGUGAAAAUAUUUUAUUAAGGAGUCAACAGAUACUAUGAAUCAAAUAAGGUUUCAUUGUGUUCUGUGGAAGCAGGCAGGUCUGUUUCACAUUAUGUAACUGUUUGUAAUUUUUGUCAGAUCUCCUUGACUCAGAUCUGUCUCUGGACUCAGAUUUCUCUACAUCGAGCUCACAAUCUUCAACCCAGGAUCUAACAAGAACAAACUCUGGUAAGAUUGUCUUGGAUUCUGGGUCACAUAGUAACUACCAUAUGUCCUGCAGUUGACCCAUUCAGGACAUGAUAUUUCUGGGAGGGCUUGAGGUUUUAAAUCUCACAGUGAGGUCAGAGUUACAUUGGAUAUCUCUUUUGACGUAAGGCAUUAGAAGUAAGCAGUUUUAGAACUGAUCAUCAGUGUCCAAACUGAAUCAGAACUAAACUUCCAGAAUGCCCUGGCUGGGACUGCCACUGAUCGUGCUGGCAGAAGGUUCUGGGAAUGGUAGUCCAAACACUAAUCAUAAGUGUUUUUCAAGGCUUUUAUGGCCGGAAUCACUGGGUUGCUGUGAGUUUUUCGGGCUGACAGGCAUCCUCGGAGAUGUGAGGUCUGUUGGAAACUAGGAAAAUGGGAUUUAUGUAUCUGUAAAGAGCCCAGGUUGAAAGAAAGAACUCUUGUCUGUUUGAGGCAUGUGAAAAUGUUGCAGUUGAUCACCUUGAUUAGCAUUUAAUGGCCUUGAAGCUUCAAAGCCUGGCUGUGUCUUGCCUGAGGUAAUACUUUGUUGGGAGGUGUUAGUUGGCCCUGAUCAUUUCAUGUUGGGAAUUCUCCUGGAGUGUCCGGAGUUCCCCUGUUUUCAGAAUAAUUUGAACACA